GUAAUAUUGGGAAGGUUCCAAAGCAAUCUAGGAAUGAACCAUUGCAAAGCUACUAAGAAAGUCAAUAGGUACCUGCAAGGAACCAAAGAUUACCAGUUGAUUUAAAAACCGACUGAUCACCUUGAGGUGAUUGAUUAUUCAGACUCGAAAUUUGCUAGUUGUGUAGACAGAAAAAAAUCUACUUUAUAAUAUAUUUUUCUUCUUGCUAGAGGAGCUGUAUAUUGAAAAAAUACUAAGCAAACGAUUGUUGCUUCAUCUACUAUGAAAGCAGAAUUCAUUGCAUGCUAUAAAGCAAUGACAUAAACGAUUUGGUUAAGAAUUUUUAUUUCUGAUCUUGAAGUUGUUGAUUCUAUAUCAAGACCAAUAAAGAUAUAUUGUGAUAAUUCAAUUGCAAUUUUCUUUUCUAAGAAUAAUAAGAGUGAAAGUCAAAACAAACAUAUUGACAUAAAGUAUCUCAUUGUGAGAGAAAAAGUGAAGGAACAUGAAGUUCUCAUUGAGCAUAUUAGCACAAAGCUAAUGAUCACGAAUAUAAAGAUCACGCGGAUAACAUAUGUCUAGCUAACCUAUUUGAUGUUUGACUUUAGUUUUUUUUUUUUUGAUUGUCUGAAAAUCUUUUAUGUUAUUUUUAGAGACCAAAAUGAUGUUUUGUGCACAUAAAAUAUUAUUUUCUAUAUUUACUAGUAGUUAAUUUAUAAAGUUUAUUUGCUCAUUAAGUGCUUAUUUUCUCGGAUGCAAUAUAUUGUAAUACAUGGAAAGAAAUACUUGAUUAUAAGUGUAACUACUAUGAUUCAUAUGUUGUAUUCUUGAUUUAAGUGUAAAUGUUUUUACUAACCAGAUAUUUUGAACCCUAUAAAAAUAUUGUUACUUUUCAGAUGGUACUGUCAUAUAAGCUAAGUGAAAGAAUGUUAAAAAAAUAUUUUUAAGGUGACAUGUAUGUUAUAUAGAUUUUAAAUUAAGUAACAAUUAAGGCUUAAAACUCAUUAGACUCUUUAGUAAUACAAAAAUUAGGUUAUAUAUAAAAAGUCUUUAAUCUAAAAAAAAAAAAUGUCAAUGAAAAAUCUGUGUUUUUCAUCCACACAAAAAAAACUCUGAAGUUUGACAUAUAUUAGAAGACUUAUUAUUGCUGAUAGCACAAAAAUUGAUGAACAAUUACAAUAUUCAAUACUUAAUCAAUGAUGACAGAAAAUAUAUAACUUAUUAAUUUUCAGCUGCAUUUAUAUGAUUGGUAUAUUGAAAUUAUUUUACAUAUAAUUCAUGCGUCUGAUGCAACGCCUUAACUAACGUUAGUUUGUUUUCUUUUCUUCUUCUGUAUACUAUAAUAAGACUCUGAACCAAUCACACCUAAGCUGAUCAAUAUACAUAUGGUGUCGAUGGGUCUAGACAAUGUUAACUACCAGGUAAUGAACUGGUAAUAAAACCCAUUAAUUAAUUUUAAUAGAUUUAUUAAAGUAAUUCUAUUGGAAUUGGUGUCGAUGUACGUAUAUUAUAUUCUCUAAUAUAAAAGGCCCUUUCAUUCUCAAUGAAUAAAUAAUUAUAAAUACAUAAAUAUAUAGUCGGGUGAUAGAAAUUAGCGUCAACUUGUGAAUGGAGUGUUGUCUAGUCGACCAAUUCAAUAGCCAUUGCUAUCCACUCGAUUAAUAAUUAAUUGUUUUUAUUCACUUUUAAAUAACUCGUGGUUCAAUGUAUCUAUAGUCCUCGGAAUAGUUUUUGUUUGACAUUUACAUAGAUCUGAUCUAUAAGAGAAUAAUUUUUGUUAUUAAUUACAUAUAAACCAAAAUAUAUUUGAACAAGACAUUUAAUUUAUAUUGACAAAUAUUUUUUUCCACGUAUAUUAUACAAAAAAUAACGUUAAUUAUAUAUUGUUCAUAUAAUAUAAAUUCAGUUUACGUACCGUAAGUUAAACUUCUAUAUAAGCUAAUACUUUUAAGAACAUAAUUAAAAAUUUAUUAUUUAAUUAAAGUAUUGUUUAAAUUUAAAAUUUAAAUCAAGACUAAAUAAAAAUAUUAUUUAAUCAAGAUUAUUAAUUUACAGGUUAUAUUAAUUAUAUUUUGCUCAGAGGUUCACAGUUUUUUGUUUUUAACCUAAUGCUUGCUUUUCUAGCUACAAAACGAUAUCUCAUUCAUAUAUUUAGGAUAUAAGCUGGCUGGCUAACUAGCAAGAUCUUUAUUUUUCUGGUAAGAAUGGAAUGCCAGACAGAGAGAUAGUAAGGCUCGAAUUCUUUUCAUCACCGCUACCAUCCAUUGGCGAACACUUUCUCUUGAAGUGGCCAUAUAUACAGUACUGGGGUAUGUGGUUCACAUCAAAUGAAAGGGAGAAGAGUAAGCCAAAGUGAGCACGGAGGCGAAAAGAGUCGACGGUCCUCUUCAUGCAUGGGCCAUCAUAACAAGAGUUUGUAAAUGGCAACCAUCUAGGUGACUCAGUGAUAAGAGAUUGAGACUAAGAGGUUUGCUCUCUUUGUGGUCUCAGGUUUGAACCCGGUGGUUGCUCAUAUGAUGACCACUGGAGGCUUACAUGGUCGUUAAUUUUAGGGCCCGUGGGAUUAGUCGAGGUACGCGCAAGCUGGCCCGGACACCUACGUUAAACUAAAAAAAAAAAAAAAGUUGAAAAUGGUUUCAUAAAAAAAGAAGUUUAAAAUGUUUAAUUAAAUUGACUUUUCUUGGUGUUUUUUUCAGGGCUACUGAAAUGUUGUGGCUAGGUCUUUUGGGUUUAUAAAAGAGACUGGGAAUUGGAUUUUAGUAGUAGAUGGGACGAUACAUGGAUUCCUGCUUACCCGUCUAUUUUGGCUCGGCCACAAUCACCCAAAUAGAAAUAUAUAGCAAUUAUAGACGCAUGUGUGCACACAAAUUCGACAGUACUUCUGCAAAAAACACCACACAUAAGAUUGAAGAAGUCUGUUCUCUCACUCAAUCUCAACCCAAAAUCCACAAGCACACACACACACAAGUAUAUAAUAUCUGGAUAUAUAUGAUCAUGCCCCCAUUUAGAUAUUUUAAACACCAUUUUUUCCACGUUCUCUUUCACGUCAAUUUCACUUUCCUUACACCUGCCACUUCCCCUCCCCUUAUAUUUACUGCUCUUUACAUUCUUCUCUUGUGCCUUUAUCCCCCCCCUCUCUCUGAACUUAGGCCGCUUUGCCUGUAUUUCAUUCUUUUACUCUCUCUCAAAACUAAUUACUAAAGACUAUGUUUAUUGUUCCACGGUACCUCUAAUCAUAUACAAAGAAUCAACCUUGGAGACCAAACCUACAAAACGUCAUGAAUAAGCUCCAAGAUUGGCCCGAACCUAUAGUCCGAGUACAAUCCUUGUCCGAUAGCGGCAUACCCCUAAUUCCAGAGCGAUAUGUCAAGCCCAUACUUCAGAGGCCAUCCGUAAAUCCCACCACUUCGAAUGAUGUGAACAUCCCUGUCAUUGAUCUUGCCAGGCUAUAUGGUGAUGAUCAUGCUCUUCGAGCCACAAUACUUGACCAAAUCUCAAUAGCAUGCCGGGAGUGGGGAUUUUUUCAAGUUAUUAACCAUGGUGUUAGCCCUCAAUUGAUGGACCGUGCUCGAGAAGUAUGGAGACAAUUCUUUCAUUCGCCCAUGGAGGUUAAGCAAGCUUAUGCAAACACACCCAAGACUUAUGAAGGUUAUGGUAGCCGGUUAGGGGUCGAAAAAGGUGCGAUUCUUGAUUGGAGUGAUUACUACUUCCUGCACUAUCUUCCUUUACCAUUGAAGGACUAUAACAAAUGGCCUGCCAUUACAGCUGAUUGCAGGUGUGUGUGCGUGUGUAUAUUUCAAUCCCUUUUUAGAACACAUGCUUACUUUUUUUGUUCUUCUUUGUUUUUAGCACACCAAUUAAUUAAGAUUACCGAACGCUUUUCAAGUUGCAAAUUCGAUCAAGUGUCGUAUUGAUUUCCUAUUAUACAUCGUACCUAGUAAAUUCUUAUAAUAAAAUUUACUACACUUUUUCUAGCUUCAUAUAUAUAUAUAUAUAUAUAACUGUUUUAUAUCAACCAUGUAUUUGGAUUUUACCUUACUAAGAUUGGAUUUUUUUUUAACACCAACAAUUUCAAUUUAGUUUUAAGUAAGCCUUGCUAAUGAAUUUGUAGGGCAGUUCUUGAUGAAUAUGGUAAGCAAUUGGUGGAGCUGUGUGGGAAGUUAAUGAAGGUUUUAUCAAUAAACCUUGGAUUAGGAGAGGAACAACUUCAAAAUGCCUUUGGUGGAGAAAAUAUCGGGGCAUGCCUAAGAGUUAAUUUUUACCCUAAAUGUCCACAGCCUGACCUGACCCUUGGCUUAUCGUCACAUUCGGAUCCCGGUGGCAUGACCCUUCUCUUGCCGGACAGUAAUGUCCCUGGUCUUCAAGUCCGUAAAGAUGGGAAUUGGAUCACUGUAAAGCCAGUUCCACAUGCUUUUAUUGUUAAUAUUGGUGAUCAAAUUCAGGUAACAUAUACUUUCUCUGUUUCUCUCACUAGAUUAUCUAUCUAUAUAUAUUUAUGUUUGGAUGAGAUUUAUGAAACGUAUAGGGAACAUGGAGGGGUCAUAUUUUUGAUGGGGUAGUAACAAGUUAUUAUCCAACAAUUGGUCAAAAGUGUUUUUUUUUCUUCAAAGAACUUGUCAUUUGGUCCCGUUCUAGAGCGAGUGGUCUCAAUGAAAAGCUUGAAUAUAUAGUUUCUUCUCUUAGUUUGAACUUGUGGAUCAUGAACCUAGAAGGUUUCUUGAUGCAAGAAAAAAAAACACAUAUAUAGCCUCUCGAUCGUUUAGACAUCACAUGACAAACAUUACUGUACUCCCACGUAAAAAAACAUAAUCAGAACAUCACAAGGAUCUGUAAUGACUUGAGUCUUGCCUGUCAUACGUUCUUUCUUCUGCUUUAAGUAAUUACAGUACCUGUCACUUCCAGUACUAUUGCACAUUGAGAAUUCCUCAAGUAAAGAGUUUAAAUCCCGCCAAAAAAUAAUUGAGUACUAUUAUUAAUUUUCGCUCUCACUGGCUAUGCCCAUGCCUCGAGAAAGCAUCUCGUCGUCUUUUCUUUUUUGUCGUAAUUUGAUAACGAUGACUUUUACAAACAUGGAUUAGUUAUUCGAUGCCCGGUUCAUAACAUAUGGAAUGGGGUUAGAGUAUUGACCCAGAAAACAAUUAGCUGCCUCUAGAAAACUACAAGUCAUCAAACCAUGUUUUACAAACAUGGAUUAGUUAUUUAUUCGAUGCAACAUCUAAAAUAAAGAGUGGUGGAGAUAAUUAACACAACCAGAUAGAAUCUUAUGUUAUGUCUUUGACUUCUCAGCAAUCUCUUUAGUAUAAACAAGUCUUGUAACAAAAAAAAGAAAAAAAGAGUGGUAACUUUUUACAAGGAUGCAUGUAUUUACAAUGUAGCUUAAUUGUGGAUGAAGAAUUAGGUUAUUUUUUAAAGUAUUUUUUAUUUAAAAAUUUAUUAAAAUAAUAUUUUUAUUUAUUUUUAAAAUAUUAUUUUUAAUAUCAGUGUAUCAAAAUAAUUUAAAACUAUAAAUUUAAAAUAAAAUAUUUAAACUUUUUAAAAAUAUUAUUUAAAACACAAUUUCAAAUAGCAUCUAUUAUGGUAACAACCAUUCCAUCAAAUUUAGUGCAAUGAAUAUGUGUAUUAUUUGCCUGCCUAAAGCAGAAUGCAACCUACCUAUAAUAUAUUCCAAAGUAGAUGCUUCGACGAUGAAAUCUUGUCAAUUGUCGUUAUUUGACUGACAAUGAACUGGGAAUAGUAAGCGCGGAUCACAAAAUUAUUAACUUGAGGGACCUAAAUUGAGUUUCUAAGAGUAUGGAAUCAAAAUCAAAUGACCCGUGGUUGGAUUCAUUGGGGUUGCAAAAAUCACAAGCAAUAUUCUAGCAUCUUAUUCCAUCCCACUUGAGCAAGUAAUUCCAUGUUUUUUUCUGUUAUUAAUUCCUUGAACAACGCCAAGGGAUUUAAUUAACUAUAAUUAAUUGACGGUGGCAAAUUCGGUCUCGUUAGUUUUUAAUUUGAGCGAUGUGGUAAACAGUUUUGUUUUGUGGAUUCGUUUACGUAGGUGCUAAGCAAUGCAACUUGCAAGAGCGUGGAGCACAGAGUGAUGGUAAAUUCAUCAGAAGAGCGUCUCUCUCUUGCUUUCUUCUACAAUCCAAGGAGUGAUAUACCCAUAGAGCCUUUGAAGGAGCUCGUGGCACCAGACAGGCCUCCACUCUAUCCAGCCAUGACAUUCGACGAGUACAGGCUCUUCAUAAGAAUGAGGGGUCCCUGUGGAAAAUCCCAAGUGGAGUCCCUGAAAUCUCCAAGAUGAUGGCGACGUGACAACAAUUCUUAUGCGAAUUUCUUCCUGGCUAGUUUAGUGUUGUAUUAAUUAAUGUAAACCAAGAGUAACCGUCCCCUUCAUUGGUUAAUUAGAAUUUGAGUAAUUGUACAUCUUGUGAUCAUAGAGGGGACUACAGGUGAAAAAUGCAGUAGAAUGAAGUGGGAAAAGUAGAUAAAAAUUAUUCUAUAUAUGUUCUCUUUUGAGAAAAAAAAACUGGGCCCAAAAAUAUCCUAAUCACGUCUUGUGAGUAAAUAUUGUCCCGCUAAUUAAGGCAACAACUUGUUGGAAAACAAAACGUGACAUUUAGAAUUCUGUAGUUUUUGUUUUUUAAUGCUUUUUAAAUAUAUAUUUAAUUACUUUAGAUAUUUAUUUUUAAACUUAUUUGAUGAUUUUAAGAUAUAUAUUAAAAAUAAAAAAAUAAUCUUAAACAAAACUAAAAUAAAAAAUAUCUUUAAAAAGUAACUAAUUUAUUAUCGAGCUUGACACUAAAUUAAAUAGCAAGAUAUUGCACCAAUAAAUUGUAGGUAUGAUAUUUAACUAAAUUCUUUCACCUUAAUGAUUUUCUAAAAGGAUGAAAUGAGAAUAAUUAAUUAUGUGUUCAUCCACUCUCCACGAUGUAUGUUGAAGUAAUCAUACAUCAUCUAAUUUAUUUUUGAAUAAAUAAAAUCAAAGAUAAAAGAAUAGCACUAUUUAUGAUCACUUAUAUUGACAUUAUGCAAUUUUGAAUCAUCGUUUUUGACUUUCGAACUUGCAAGGCCAUAUCAUUUGCUUAGUCUAAUUUAUAUAUAUAUAUAUAUAUAUGGGGUUUUUUUAUAUAUAAUUAUUUGUUUAGUCUUUGGAGCUUUAUCUCAAUAUAAAUGGACGGCUAGCAAAUAUGUAUUAGUAAAACAAUUGAUCUUAUUAGACAUCAAUUGUUUUAUGCAUCGAUCAAUCAUGCUUCAAAGUCAAUUCUGUCAACUAUAGAUAUUAAUUCUAAGGUUCUUGUUGAGUAUAUUAUUAUAAAAUAACCAAAAAAAAGAUCACAUGUUUCUUGUCAUUUAGCAUUUUUAACCACUAAAUUCAAAUAUCAAAAUUAUUGCCUUCUUUAUAAUGGAGAGGACUUCACUAAUUUUUAUUUUUAUUUUGCUACUAUGUGAUUAAGUGACUGCAUAGCAAUAAAAUCCCUCUAUAAUGCAGUUAACAUCACCCGUAGUUUGGUUGGCUUUUGAUAAGAACCUUUGAAUGGCUGUUGAAAAUCAGUCUCCAUGUUGUAUGUUUUUUUUCUUCAAAUUAACACAAUAAACUUCAAAAUUUAGAGAAAUUAUACCAUUUUAAAAAAAUUAAUAAAAUAAUAUAGUUUUGAACUUGUCGCGUUUCUGAAGCGUAAAAAUUACAUGUCACACUUCUGAAGUGCGACAUUAACUAAAUGUUAACAGUUGAGUUUUAUGUAUUUAUCUUUUAAUUUAAUAUUAAUAUUUUAUUAAUACUAGACUGACUUCUUGCUACGAGAGAGUCGAGAGGCCAUAUCUAAUCUUCGUAGUACUGACAAAGAAAGCGAAGUUAACACCAUAGUGUCUCAGUAGUUAAAUGUUUGUCGCACUGGACUUGAAAUCUUUGGAGAGAGGUUAACUCUCGAUGAUAUCGUGGUAGAGGACAAGGUCACUUAGACAUGAACAUGAGCUAGAUCUAGUCGUGUUAUUUGCAUUCUUAAGGCUCCUUGUGAUUAUAAAAUAUAAGAAUAUAUUGAGUUUAGUUAGAAUUUAUUGAUUGAGGUUGUUGUGGUUUUUCGCAAGUUUUUUUUAAGCGUAAAUUUUUUUUGGAUAUAGUUUUUAUAUAGAGAAAACUCUAUUCAAAUUUUGAUAAAAUUGUUAAAAUUUUAACUCUUUAAAAUUAUAAAGUAAAUAAAAAUUCAUAUUAAUAAAAACUAUGAUUUUAUAAAAUUUUCCAGGCUUAAAAUAUGAAAAUAACCCAAAACUAGACAAUAGCUAAAAUAAUCUAAUCAUUUUGGAUAUUGUACAAUCAUUUUAUCAAAUGUCCAGUUGUUUCUCAAAACGAUCUCUUUAAAAAUAUCACGAUUCACAGACGAUAUAUAUCAAAUAUUUUAAUUCACAACCAUAAUAUCUUCAAACUAUAGUAUUUUACCAAAAAAAUUUCAUCAUGCACUAUUUCACUAUUUAUUUAUAUUUUGGGUGCUAAUUGUAUAAUUUAUCCAUGUGAUAUCAUCAUGAAGGCAAUUUUGGGUAGUCUUUGGCACUUGCUGAUUGUGCGGUGCCAUUUAUGUGUCACUAAUCCAAGUCCAGAAGGAUUUACAAGUGGUGGUUUAGUCUUCCAUUGAUGUUGAUGUUGAUGUUUCAUUAGUUUAAUGCCCCCACCUAAGGGUAAACUGUAUUGCAAAAGAGCGAACGAGAGAAUUCAUGUUGUGAAAAAAAAAAUACAGCUAAGUAUAUUAUUUUCUUCUAUUAUUAUUAUUAUUAUUUUAUUCGUCACCAUACCGUCUUUAACUAAAGUCAUCCAUACUCUAUAUUACUUCACAAGGUCACAUCCCCCCUGGACAUAGGGCUUCCUCAAUCAAUUAUGAGUUCGUUGGCUCCAUAGAAAAGGUAGCCAUGCCUCUCUGGGAUUAUUCAUUGUUUAAAGAAAAAAAAUAAAAGAAAUGGAAUAUUUUUUGAGAAUAAAAAACUAGAAAAGUUCAAGUCAAUUGCUAUUAGAAAAAACAAGGUUAUUUACAUGAGCUAUAUUUUAGGCCGAAUUAAAAAAAUUUAAAUGUUUAAAAAAAUAUAUAAGUAUUACUAACAUAUUUUCAAGAAAUUUUUUUUUUUAUAGGAAUUGAUCUAAUUUGAUCUAAUCGAUUUAUCAAGUCCAAAGAUAACAUGGACAACCAGAAAAAAAAACAUAGAUUAACUAAAAAUAAUUUAAGAUGACAUAUUUUUUUAAAAAAAAUAUUAAGAUGACAACAUAUUAGAUUAACUAAGAUCAACCUAGGUUAACAGUUAAAAUUCACGACUUAGAUUAUAAGACCUUGAUAACCUCGUAGAAAACAAAUUAAAAAAUAUAUUAAAGAUAAUUUUUUAAUCAAACCAAUAUCGAGUAAUGAAAAUGAAAAAAAAAUUAAAUAAAACGCAAAAAAAGACUCGAGACAACGCAGAUUAACUUGUCAAACCUGGAUCAUGAGACCGGGAUAACCCAAUAGGAAUCAAAAGAAAAUAAUUUAUGAAGCCCAAUUCAUAAUUAAUCCAAUGUAAAAUGAUGAAAUUAAAAAAUAACAAAAAAAGACUCGAGUCAACUUGAGUUAACUCGCCAAAUCUUUGAUUCAGAUCACGAGACUAAUAUAACCUCAUGAAAAACAAACUGAGAUAAAUUAUGAAACUUAUUUUUCAAUAAACUCAAAUAUUGAAUGAUAAAAUUGAAAAAAAAAUCAAUUAUAAAAAAUACCAUAAAAACCCGAGUCAAUAUAUAUAUAGGAUUAACUCGUAAAACCCGCGAUCCAAAUAAUGAGAUUAUAAUAACCUCUUGGAAAAAAAAUCAAAAUAAAUUUUAAAGCAUUGAAAAAAAAUUCUUACAAUGAAGUAAUGACAUUGUAAGAGGAGGAUUAAUCCCUUCUCAAUUAGCUUAUGUUAAUAAUAAUAAUAAUUUGAAGCCAUGUCAGAAUUCUCUCUCUCUCUCUCUCUCUUUCUCUCUCUCUCUCUAUAUAUAUAUAAUCAACUUAUUAGUAAAAUAAUUGAUUCCCAAUUAUUCAAUCUUAUUGUGGACAAGUGUACUAUUCACUUAUUUGUCAAUUUGUGGUAAAUAACGAGCCCGUCAAGAAAGAGACAGAAUGCUCCUAUACAUUAUUUUCUUAGCAAUUUUAAAUCUUGCGAGCUACAUCGAUCCACUUGCAACACAGCAUGUCUACAUCAGUUGGAAAUGGAUAAAAAUAGAUAUUAGGGAGUCUAAAUGUGGCCUUAGCAUUUAGCAUACGUAUUUUCCAUUAUUAUAAUACACAAGAAGGCAUCCUUGACUAUUACAACCCCACUUGAAAUCAAAUUAAUAUCAUUACUUGACUCUUUCAAAUGAUUAUCCGCACGACAAAUUUUAUCAACUACUUGUUCUCAAGAUUACUUAGAAUUAGCAUCGCUUGGCAGACGAUAAGCUCAGGUCAUAUAUAGCAAUCGAAACAGACGUGAUUUCUAACUCCCAUUCAUUUCUACAUUUAGGGUUUCCCCUCUCAAAAAGCUGGAACCACCUAGCUAUAAACCUAGUGUUUUGGUCAAUUACGUUUCCUUCUUGCAGUUUCGUUGCUUCUUGCUUUUGUUUUUUAUCUCCUAUUGUCUAAAGUCGGGCGAUGCCACUUAUUAUUAUUCUUUUAUCUAACCCUAAAUGAAAUCUGUAGAAAAUAAGCGUUAAGUGUUGAUUAUCAACGGGACUCUUCGUUGAACGUACACUAAUCACGCGCAGCUGCUGUAAUAUUAAUGCUCCUUUGAUUCCUAGACUCGAGCACUUGCUAGAUUGUUGUGGUGAUUUAAGGAUCAUGUACUGGCUUGUUUCCACUGAAAGGACGUUUUGCGUUCACGUUUGUCCCCCUUUCCUUGCAGAAGAAUCUGUCGAGGCCAGCAAGCAAUUCACCGCUGAAGCUGUGUUUGACAGCAUGUCGGAAUAGUGCCCCAUUUCGGGAACGUUUGGUAACGCGGCUGCGUUUUCAAAAAAAUUAAAUUUUUUUUAUUAAAAUUUAAUAUGAUUUAUAUGUUUUAGAUCGUUUUGAUGUGCUGAUAUUAAAAAUGAUUUUUAAAAAAUGAAAAAACAUUAUUGACAUGCAUUUUGACACGAAAAGUUAUUUGAAAAACACCAGCAACCACACUGCCAAACACGUUUUUCAGCUUGUACCCAUUAAUUGUAAUUUAUUGUCUCAAUCUUUCCCAAUUCCUGUUCCGUUUACUGUAAAAAUUGCUUUCUUUGCUGGGUUCCAGACUAUUUUGUCUUGCUCGUACGUGCUGACUAGCUAGGAUAUUCAUUUCCACACAUACCUCUCUAUGUGCACAUCUUCUUGAGAAGGGGUCCCCACCCUCUCCUUAACAUGGCGAAGCAUUUUCUUGUGUAAAUCAGUGAUGAAUCCAGGACUGAAGACGUGAAGUGCCAAAAAAAAAAAAUUAAUUCUUCUAUUUGUAGUGGUGAGGUCAAUACUUAACAUGCAUGCCAACUAAUAUCGUAAUAGGGAUGAAAGUAAAUAGAUUUUUCUUUUUUGGGGAUUAAUAUAAAAAAAAAUUUUAAUUAAAGCAGAGGAAAGUUAUAUCCAAGUGAAGUAAGUUGAUGAAAAAUAAUCAUCAAAGCAGAAACGGAAAAGAAACGCUUUAAUUGUGAGGAUUGAAUUGAGAAAGUUUAGAAGAAAGGGACCGAGGGAAGUGUUUUGAUACUUUGAGGGCCAUGGGCCCUCCGCCCACUGGAUCCAUCUCUUGCGAGCAGUCUCCUUCCAGACAAAUAUGAGUUCAGUAGUUCAAACCCAUUUCUCUUCCAUAUCCCAAGUGCAGCUAGCUGCUAUGACAGUAUUAUUGACAAUCCAUGUGCGCCUCUCUUUCAAGCACAUACCUCAAGUAUUUUGUUUUUUUUUAUAAAAAAGAAGAAGAAAAAACGAUGCCUUCAAUAAUGCAAAUCCUGUAUCAAUCAACAAUCACUUUCACUUACAAAUGAUGGCAUGGCACGUAUACUCCAAUGAUUUAAAUUUCUAAGAACUCCAAUUGAUUAAUCAGAUAAAGUUUAAGAUGGUAGCUCUGUGUUCUUAAUAUUUCACUUUAAUUUGGUUAAGAGCAUCGGCUAAUGAGUAUGUUUUAUGUUUGGUUUUCUUCUCGAAUUAAAUGGGAGAUCUGGAGAUAAGAAUCAUGAGAUCGGGUAUGUUUCAAGGAGUGAAAAGAGCAAAGAAGGAGAUCCAAACAGCACACCACUGCAUCACAUCAAUGACAAGGAAACGAAAGGGAUUUUAGUAGAGCAUACCUUAUCGAUUGAUUCGAAACAAGCUAUCGAUUAAAGUCUCCUGAAAAAUGAUAAAUGGUUUGAUAAGUUUAACAGGUGGAUACCAUCAUCAUUCCAUCAAGUGUAAUCCCGAGAUUUCUAACACGAAGCUAACUACCAUUGAAUCUUCUAUUCUCAAAAUAAAUCCCGACGAUCAAAUUAAAAUCUUUUCAGUCAAGAAUUAGAAUGAUUAUCUACUCGUAAAUAACCUCAUUCACCAGAGAUUAUCUCUUUUUUUUCUAUCUUCGUUUAAAAUAUAUAGAUAUACUCCAACAAAAAGAAGAAAAAAUACUUAAUUGAAUCUAAAACUAAAAUAAUACCAUAAAAAAUAAACACCCGAACUGUACCGAAGAUGAGUUGUGAUCUGAAAGCAGGACUUUAGUGCCGCACAGUAUUCGACUGAUUCAGUGAACCACGAAUUACGGUUUUUGAUUGGAAAAUCUUGGUAUUUUCCUGCUCAAAUUGCUGGUAAUUCCAUCACAUAGUUGUUAUAAUAAUAUAAUAAUUACUAUCAAAGAGGGCAAAUGUUAUUGUGUAGAGAGAGAGAGAUCACGUGCUAAAAAAAGACUCGGCACGUUUAUUUGCUGUGGGCGUUGGUGAGAAGGGCACCAUCGAAGAAAAGAAGAUGAUGAAGGAACGACUAGAUUUGGCCUUGAUCGUAGCAAGCAAAUGCUACUACCUAUUAUUUGUUUUCCUGUGUCGUUUUUGGCUUCUUCUUUUUUCAUCGACAAAAC
rnacentral:lncRNA from 1 species